rnacentral:rRNA from 1 species
ACGGGUGAGUAACACGUGGGCAACCUGCCCUUGAGACUGGGAUAACUUCGGGAAACCGGAGCUAAUACCGGAUAAUAUAAGGAACCUCCUGGUUCCUUGUUGAAAGAUGGUUUCGGCUAUCACUUAAGGAUGGGCCCGCGGCGCAUUAGCUAGUUGGUGAGGUAACGGCUCACCAAGGCGACGAUGCGUAGCCGACCUGAGAGGGUGAUCGGCCACACUGGGACUGAGACACGGCCCAGACUCCUACGGGAGGCAGCAGUAGGGAAUCUUCCACAAUGGACGAAAGUCUGAUGGAGCAACGCCGCGUGAGUGAUGAAGGCCUUCGGGUCGUAAGGCUCUGUUGUUAGGGAAGAACAAGUGCGAGAGUAACUGCUCGCACCUUGACGGUACCUAACCAGAAAGCCACGGCUAACUACGUGCCAGCAGCCGCGGUAAUACGUAGGUGGCAAGCGUUAUCCGGAAUUAUUGGGCGUAAAGCGCGCGCAGGUGGUUUCUUAAGUCUGAUGUGAAAGCCCACGGCUCAACCGUGGAGGGUCAUUGGAAACUGGGGAACUUGAGUGCAGAAGAGGAAAGUGGAAUUCC